UAAAGAUGUGCUGAAGUCCUUCUUAAGUGGGUCAAAAACUAAUUUGAGUGGUUUUCUAGGGUGUUACUAGAAUGUUGAAGGUAGUUGCUAGGGUGUUACUAGAGUGUUGAAGGUAGUUGCUAGGGUGUUACUAGAGUGUUGUAGGUGGUUGCUAGGGUGUUACUAGAGUGUUGCAGGUGGUUGCUAGGGUGUUACUGUGCUAGGGUGUUAGUAGAGUGUUGUAGGUAGUUGCUAGGGUGUUACUAGAGGGUUGUAGGUAGUUGCUAGGGUGUUACUGUGCUAGGGUGUUACUAGAGUAUUGUCGGUGGUUGCAAGGGUGUUACUAGAGUGUUGUAGGUGGUUGCUAGGGUGUUACUGUACUAGGGUGUUACUAGAGUGUUGUAGGUAGUUAAUAGGGUGUUACUAGAGUGUUGUAGGUGGUUGCUAGGGUUUUUCUGUGCUAGGGUGUUACUAGAGUGUUGCAGGUGGUUGCUAGGGUGUUACUGUGCUAGGGUGUUACUAGAGUGUUGUAUGUGGUUGCUAGGGCAUGGCUAGAGUGUUGUAGGU
ensembl:lncRNA